AGGUUCGGGUGAUUCAGUCCCGUUCUUGCCGAUGAGGGACUGAGACAUGGCAUCAGCUAUUAAGGCUAUCGGCUGUUAUGUGCCAGCUGCACCAAUGUGUCGGAGGAAACACCGUACACCUGGCAACCAUGUCAGCGUGCACUGCGCUCGGCCCGCCACAGGAGUCGCUAGUGCGCAAUGGGACAAGGACAUCUCUGCCGGCCAAAUCCUCCCCUAACCCAGACGACACUGGGCCAAUUGUGCGCCGCCCCAUGGGUUUCCCGGUUGCAGCCGGCGACAGAGCCUGGACUUGAAUCCAGAAUCUCUAGUGGCAUAGCUAGCACUGCAAUGCAGUGCCUUAGAUAACACUGCGCCACUCGGGAUGCCAGCUUCCAACAUUCUAAUGUCAAUGGCACAAUAUGGUCGAAGCUCUGUUGACCUGAACAUACCGAAAAUGUGUCUGAUGGAUAACUGUAAAUCAGAGCUUUCCAAUGAUAUAUGAUUAAAGGUUAUACGUCACCAAUAA